rnacentral:rRNA from 1 species
AAUACAUGGGAGUCGAGCGAACAGACGAGGAGCUUGCUCCUCUGACGUUAGCGGCGGACGGGUGAGUAACACGUGGAUAACCUACCUAUAAGACUGGGAUAACUUCGGGAAACCGGAGCUAAUACCGGAUAACAUGUUGAACCGCAUGGUUCAACAGUGAAAGACGGUCUUGCUGUCACUUAUAGAUGGAUCCGCGCCGCAUUAGCUAGUUGGUAAGGUAACGGCUUACCAAGGCAACGAUGCGUAGCCGACCUGAGAGGGUGAUCGGCCACACUGGAACUGAGACACGGUCCAGACUCCUACGGGAGGCAGCAGUAGGGAAUCUUCCGCAAUGGGCGAAAGCCUGACGGAGCAACGCCGCGUGAGUGAAGAAGGUCUUCGGAUCGUAAAACUCUGUUAUUAGGGAAGAACAAAUGUGUAAGUAACUAUGCACGUCUUGACGGUACCUAAUCAGAAAGCCACGGCUAACUACGUGCCAGCAGCCGCGGUAAUACGUAGGUGGAACGCGUUAUCCGGAAUUAUUGGGCGUAAAGCGCGCGUAGGCGGUUUUUUAAGUCUGAUGUGAAAGCCCACGGCUCAGCCGUGGAGGCUCGUUUGAAAAGCUAAAAGACUUGAGUGCAAAAGAAGAAGAGUGUAAAUCCCGUGUAUAGCUGAUGAAGUGCACAUAUAUAGGGAGGAACCACC